AGGACGAACGCUGGCGGCGUGCUUAACACAUGCAAGUCGAGCGGUAAGGCCUUUCGGGGUACACGAGCGGCGAACGGGUGAGUAACACGUGGGUGAUCUGCCCCGCACUUCGGGAUAAGCCUGGGAAACUGGGUCUAAUACCGGAUAUGACCUCCGAUCGCAUGGUUGGUGGUGGAAAGAUUUAUCGGUGCAGGAUGGGCCCGCGGUCUAUCAGCUUGUUGGUGGGGUAAUGGCCUACCAAGGCGACGACGGGUA
rnacentral:rRNA from 1 species